rnacentral:rRNA from 1 species
CUUGGUCAUUUAGAGGAAGUAAAAGUCGUAACAAGGUUUCCGUAGGUGAACCUGCGGAAGGAUCAUUAGUGAACGCCCUCACGGGCUUAUAACUAUUCCAAACCUCUGUGAACCGUGCCCUUCGGGGCUAUUUUACAAACAUGGUGUAAUGAACGUCAUAUAUCAUAACAAAACAAGACUUUCAACAACGGAUCUCUUGGCUCUCGCAUCGAUGAAGAACGCAGCGAAAUGCGAUAAGUAAUGUGAAUUGCAGAAUUCAGUGAAUCAUCGAAUCUUUGAACGCACCUUGCGCCCUCUGGUAUUCCGGAGGGCAUGCCUGUUUGAGUGUCAUGUAGACUCAAUCCCUCGGGUUUCCGAGGAGAUUGGACUUGCGUGUUGCCGCUCUGCCGGCUCGCCUUGAAAGACUUAGCGGGAUAGCACCGUAGUCGGCGUAAUAAGUUUCGUCGGUGAAGGUUGUGAUGACUGCUUACAAUCGCCCUCGGGCAAUUUUUGACUCUGACCUCAAAUCAGGUAGGACUACCCGCUGAACUUAAGCAUAUCAAUAAGCGGAGGAAAGUUGG